UAGAGAGGACGGAACUGGUGUUCCAACCGGUCUUCAAAACCGGUAACAGACGGAUAAAACCGGCUGUGGCAGGUUCGAUUCCUGCCCUCUC
rnacentral:tRNA from 1 species